GUAAGACAGAUAUAGUGUCACAAUGAAAUAUGGCAAUGAGGCGUUUAUACAAGCCUUCAACUAAAAGGGAAUAUUGUGAUAACAGAUCUGUUGCUAAGAAUGGGGAAUUAAUUAAAAAUUAGGAAAUGCAUUGCAUUUCUACGUUUCAUUUUCGGAACAAUGGCGCAGCGGUAGAGUUGCUGCCUCGCAGAUUUAGAGGCCCGUGUUCGAUCCUGACCAAAGAUCCUGAUCCUGACUACGGGUGCUGUCUGUACGGAGUUUGAACGUUCUCCCUGCGAUUUGCUGGGUUUUCUCCGGUUGCUCCGGUUUUCUCAAACACUCCAAAGAUGUACAAGUUUGUCAUUCCCUCCGGGCAUCAAAAAUAGAAUCGUGGAUCUUUACUGGUGACUGAAAAAAAGAAGUGAGAUGUUUCCCCUGGAUUUGUUUACAAACUGCAGGUGAUCAUUCUGAUAUCCUUGCCUAGUCCUCCUUUUUAACUUUGAACAUACAAAAUAUUGCCAUUUGGAAGGAGCUCCAGAAAAUCCUGCACCCACUCAAGCCACCAAACAGAUCUAAGCUACAUUUUAAUAUAAAAUUGCAUACAUGUACCUACAAGUAACAAACACAAUGUGUAGAUCACCUUUGAAAAGUACAUAGUUACAAUACCACUUGUUUUAGUGACUGUGAAAUGAAAAAAAAAAAGUAACUAGAUCCUGGAAACCAAUAACUAUUGGCGUAAAAGACGAAACCAAAGACUAUUGGCGCUAUGGCGACUUAAGACAUGCGCCAUUUAGCUCCGCUCCGCUAAAAUCAGGAAAACGGACAAAAAUUCGCAAAACGGACAGAAGAAAAUCGCUUACCGGCACACGUUUGUUGUCGCGUAAGUGACGUCAUCAGAAAUUGACUCCGGUAUUUUAAAUGACUGGUAGACGUUACCCCAGAAGACUUCCUAUAGUUCCUAAAGGACCUAAAGUACCACGGAAGAAAUGCCUAGUGGAAAGUCAGGAAGCCUUUGAAGAAGAAGCCUCGACUUCGAGUAUGGAGCACCCGUAUGAAAAAGUAGCAAGACAACCUUUGGUGGAAGAUAUCAAAGCUUUAUUGGGUGAGCAACUUGCAGUUGUAAAAUUGGACAUUGCUGCUGGGAGA